rnacentral:lncRNA from 1 species
AGCAUGUGGGUAUUAAAAUCUACCAAGGGAUCCAAGAGCUUUGUGUGGGAAACAUUAGAGAGCAUCUCCUAACCUCCUUGAGAGCACUCCUAGCAUCCUACUUCUUCUUGAGGGAGAAAUUCUUUCUUGAGCUUAGGUAAGGAAGAGAUUAAGGCUCUCGCCUUCAUUAUUGGUGUUGUGGUGCUUUAAUUGCUAAGUUGGAGGACAAAGGCAAC